ACUUUACAAUGCGGGAAACCGUGAUAAGGGAACUCCGAGUGUCCGUAAAUGCGGACUGUCCGUAUGUUUAAAAAGCAUGCGAAGAAAGGGCCGGGCAAGACCGGUGCCAGCCGCCGCGGUAAUACCGGCGGCUCGAGUGGUGGCCACUAUUACUGGGCUUAAAGCGUUCGUAGCUUGGUUGUUAAGUCUCUUGGGAAAUCUAUCGGCUUAACCGAUAGGCGUCCAGGGGAUACUGGCAAUCUAGGGACCGGGAGAGGUGAGGGGUAAUUCAGGGGUAGGAGUGAAAUCCUGUAAUCCUUGGGGGACCACCUGUGGCGAAGGCGCCUCACCAGAACGGCUCCGACAGUGAGGGACGAAAGCUGGGGGAGCAAACCGG
rnacentral:rRNA from 1 species